rnacentral:rRNA from 1 species
CGAGCGAACGGAUGAAGUGCUUGCACUUCUGACGUUAGCGGCGAACGGGUGAGUAACACGUAAGGAAUCUACCUAUAAGCGGGGGAUAACAUUCGGAAACGGGUGCUAAUACCGCAUAAUAUCUUCUUCCGCAUGGAAGAAGAUUGAAAGACGGCUCUGCUGUCACUUAUAGAUGACCUUGCGGUGCAUUAGUUAGUUGGUGGGGUAACGGCCUACCAAGACGAUGAUGCAUAGCCGACCUGAGAGGGUGAUCGGCCACAUUGGGACUGAGACACGGCCCAAACUCCUACGGGAGGCAGCAGUAGGGAAUCUUCCGCAAUGGGCGAAAGCCUGACGGAGCAAUGCCGCGUGAGUGAAGAAGGCCUUCGGGUCGUAAAACUCUGUUAUAAGAGAAGAACAAAUUGUAGAGUAACUGCUACAGUCUUGACGGUAUCUUAUCAGAAAGCCACGGCUAACUACGUGCCAGCAGCCGCGGUAAUACGUAGGUGGCAAGCGUUGUCCGGAUUUAUUGGGCGUAAAGGGAGCGCAGGUGGUUUCUUAAGUCUGAUGUGAAAAGCCCACGGCUUAACCGUGGAGGGUCAUUGGAAACUGGGAAACUUGAGUACAGAAGAGGAAUGUGGAACUCCAUGUGUAGCGGUGGAAUGCGUAGAUAUAUGGAAGAACACCAGUGGCGAAGGCGACAUUCCUGGUCUGUUACUGACACUGAGGCUCG